UGGCCAAGCUGGUCUUGAACUCCUGGCCUCAAGUGAUCUGCUCACUUCAGCCUCCUAAAGUGCUGGGAUUAUAGGCAUGAGCCACUGUGCCUGGCUUUUUUAAACUUUUAUUUUAGAUUCAUUUAAUAGGUAAAUUGCGCGUCACAGGGGUUUGUAGCUUAUUCUUUCAGAAACAUUUGCAUUAUUUGUAGAUGUGGAUGUAAAUACCUCAUGGAGUUUUCAUGAGAAAUAAUUGAGAUAAUGUAUGUAAUGUUGCACAGUGCUUUGCAGACUAAUAAAUAGUAGCUAUUAGUACAAACGUGUUGCUUUUUGGCUAGUUCUGCAGUCACGUUUGAAUCAGCUUAUGAACCACACAAAACAUUUGUCAUUAUUCUGUGAUCACUGUUUUUGAUACUGAUGAAAAUUUACAGUAUCCACCUGGAUAAUACCAUCUGGCUCACAAGGUGUGAUCUUGAAUUGUUAGCCGAAUGAACUAGAGCCUCAAAGGAUGAAGAUUACCUUGUGGGUAUUAAAAAGGAGCUUAGAAAGCUGUUUCCCAAGAGGGAUUCCUUGUUACCAACUAUGAUAGCAUUACUAUGGCGUGUGUGGUUUCCCAGAGUGACUGCUUUGGGGUUGGAGGUCACUUAGCUGUUAGAAGGUUAGGUCCCUUUAUAUUAUAUCUUGUAAACAAGGCUUAUUUGUACUUAGAGCUUCCCUUAGGGGUAACACUUAACCUUGCGGAGGGGAUCAUUUCUACCAGUGGGAGCCAUCUAGCAGGUCAGUUCUUAAGUUCAGCUUCACCAUGUAAAUGGCUACACGGUACACACAGGCUGACUUAACAUUCACCAUUCAGAUCCCCUCUCCUAGUUUUAUGUUCUUGGCAGCAGCGAAAAGGACCUCAAGCUCUCAGGCAAGAUGAUCUUCCCUGAGAUAUAUGUUGGACGAACCCAGAACCAUCAUAGAUUUGAGGGUGUAGUUGAAAAUCCCUACUGUGAAUGGGGUUUGUGGUACUGAAAGUUACCCCUUCCCUGUGAUUUUUGUAGGAACCCUUGCCACACAGAUCAGUGGAGUGGUGGGAAGAAGCACCACAAGACAUGCCUUUUUUUUUCUUUGAAAAAUGUUUGAAAGCUCCUACUAAUAUGGUUAGGAAAACUUCCGCGACAUUUGACCAUAAAAUGAGAGUUGCUCAAAAUACUAGUGCAGAUUACUCUGAUGUGUGAAAUACAAGACUUCAGGAUCAGUGCUGAAGACUUCAGGAAACUUAAUAAAUACAUUGAACUUGAAAAGUUUAUCCCUAAACUGUAAUCCUCCCAAACAAAACAAAAACAAAGCAAGAGGAAAAAACAUUUUAAAAAUUGUGAAACAGGCUGAAUUUUAUAAAUUGAAGUUACCAAAAUUACAUCUUUAGACCUUUCUUCUGAUUUGGUAUUUUAUGUUAUUAAGCAGUUACCUGGUUCUGAUUUAAAGGAGUAAUUUUAUUAUUUCUCUUUUCUACUCAUUUACUCAAUGAGUUUGUGUGACUAUAGAGAAAAGUAGGCUGUGUGGUUUUUCUGGUUGUCUAUACAUGUUGGCUCAUAGAGCAUAUGUACACAUGUGUAAUGUUUUCAUUUCCACUAAGCUGUUUGCUCCCUAGAUACUAUGCUAGUGUUUGUUUUUCUGCUGAGGUCUCCCAUGUUUUUACUGCCUUUUCUGAGUUAUUCCUCCUGAAGGAACAUUAUAUACCGUACUGGAGCAAAUGAGUCUUUUCUUAAACUUUCAGUCUUGGGUUUUGCAUGUAGCAUUUCUACUCCUUGUAGAUGAAUGAGUUCUUUUUCCUCUGUUGACUAUGAGGGCCUUGCCUUGCUGAAAGGAAUAGGGUGGUGAAGGGAAAAUAUUUAGAGAUCUUGCCUGGUCUUAAUAGGGAGCUUGUGACACUUAGAUUUUCAAGUGUUCAGUUUAUACCUUUCCCAAAUCUGAUUGCAGUGUAUUCAGUCAAGUAUUGAAGACCUAACGUAUGGCAUGUUUUGCAAGGCACAGCGAAAGAAAAAUGAACUAAGAACAGUGAGACCUUGUGGAAAUUCCCAGGGUGGAAUGUUGCAAACCAUGAGUCCUGGGCCUGCCUGAAUCACAGCCUCGGUGGGAGGAUCUUAUGAAAGGCAUCCUCUGUGGUUAUUUGACCUUUGGAUCGACAGGAGGUCCUCAGUGCUUUGCUGGAAGGGCCCUGAGACUCACUUGCAGCCCAGGAACAGCCAGUGCAUCCAGAACCAGCUGACCACCAGCAUGAUGAGGGAUAUGGGGAAGCUGAAGAGGAACCAGGUGCCGAAGUUCACCACGUCUGCGGCUGGAUACUGGCUGGAGGGCAAAGAACCAGUGGAAUCAUGCCAGGAAGCCCAUUAUUCGUUCAGUUGCCUUACAAUCUUAGGAUACUCAAAUAAAAUAUUUGCAGUGUCCCUGAAGCAUCUUUGAAGGCGGGUUUGAGGACCUCUGAUCUACAUCAACCCCCAGCUUUUCUAGUUGAAGACACGGGGGCUCAGGCAUUGGACUGCUUUGCUACAGUCAAAGACAGGGUCUCACUAUGUUGUCCAGGCUGGGCUCAAAUUCCUGGGCCACAGCGAUCCUUCUGCCUCAGCCUUCUCAGUAGCUAGAACUAUAUGGGCACACCACUGUGCCCAGCUGAAGUCCACCAUUUUACUGGCCUUUUACACCUCUCAUGAAAAGGUGUAAAACCAGACUUGGGGGAGUGAGACAUUGGCUGGAGCUUGGUGGUGAUGUGUGUUUGUGUGUGGAAGGGGAUACUUUGCUCGCCGUCGCAGCCAGCGAUUCUGUGAGUACCAUGGCACUCCUUGCUUUGCUGCCAAGUCACCAUAGUUAUCAGUGACCCAAUAGAGGUGAAUGUUUGGAGCGCACAGUUCUUCCCACUACCUGUCAACAUGCUGAGGGGCCAGCCCCCAAAGUCACAGAAGUGUUCCUUAUCACUGCGUGUGUGCACUUUUCCAGCUGACAUCUUGAACAGUCAACACUUGGAGAAAAACACAAACAAGGGUAACCCUCCAGUGAUUUCUCUUUGGCUUUGAGAACAUUGUGCCCUGUGUGCCUGUACAGACAUGUCCUAGUUUCCAUAAGAUAAGCCAGCA